CCAAAUACGGUUCACCCACUUUCCCCCUCUACUCCUUUUUCACCAAAACUGAUUCACAUUCCAUCCUUAAUUUCUUAACCUUACUCCUUAAAUUCUUUCAUAUUUGCGCGCCUUCUACUUCCCUCCCCAAAUCCAAACAUAUUUCUUGAUAUGGUUUGAUUGAUUCUUAUCUAAUGACUGGUGAUUAUGGUUGUUAUUUGUUAAUUUUUGUCUAUUUGUUGAAUGUGCAUAGGUAUAUAUGACAUAUCAACUUGUAACUGUCGAAUUUUCUAUUUCAGCUUGUUGUGUUAUUCUUUAUUCCGUUGUGUUAAUGAUUUUAACCUGAAAAGUUAGGGCUGCUUAGAUGGAUGGUUUGUAACUUAGCGAAAGUGGAGAGACAACAUGAAGAUUGAAAAGCUUUUCAUGUUUGUUGCUGUUGGAGUUUUUAAGCAACAACAAACGUUGCUAGUUACUUUAACUUCAAAUUGUUCUACAAAUUACAAUCCCACUGCUUUAUCUCAUGGUACCUUUAUCAAUAACUUUGAGCCUUAGAAAUUGGAGACUUCAAAGGGGCUAUUUUCACCAUAAAUAUCGAUUGUAUAGAAACUGCAGACUUCAAAGGGGCUAAUUUUUCACCAUAACUAUCGAUUGCAGCAGGUUACAACUUGGAUUGGAUUUGGGCAUGUCCUGUUUUUAUCAGGUACUGUAUGAACUAAAGACCAAUAUCUGGAUUAAUUGAAGACCAAAGACCAAUCGGUUUACACUUAAAGUUAAGCGAGUCUAGUAUUGGGUACAGAAUUAUGCCAUGAUGGAGAGAUCCGAAGAGAACAUGAGGUUAUACGCUCAAGUGCCAAGUUAGAAUAUGGGUUCAUAUAUGCUUAGCAUAUUGUAUUGAUUAUGGAUAAUUUAGUUCUUUAUUGUGUUAUAUUUGGAUAAGUUGGAAGUUGGAUAUUUCAUUCUAUUUUGUUUGGAUA